GCCUACGGGGGGCAGCAGUGAGGAAUAUUGGUCAAUGGGCGCGAGCCUGAACCAGCCAAGUCGCGUGAGGGAAGACGGUCCUAUGGAUUGUAAACCUCUUUUGCCGGGGAGCAAGCUGUGCCACGUGUGGCGCAGCUGAGAGUACCCGGAGAAAAAGCAUCGGCUAACUCCGUGCCAGCAGCCGCGGUAAUACGGAGGAUGCGAGCGUUAUCCGGAUUUAUUGGGUUUAAAGGGUGCGUAGGCGGACUGUCAAGUCAGCGGUAAAAUUGAGAGGCUCAACCUCUUCGAGCCGUUGAAACUGGUUU
rnacentral:rRNA from 1 species